UUGAGUGGUGAGUCUUUUAUUUUCUAGUUCUGUAUCCUCGUUUAAUUUCCGUUGGGUGGUGAACUUUCUGUAUCCCAUUGCGAUUUUAAACUUGGUGGUGAGCUACUUUUCAUUUUUAUCUACGCUGCUUCGUUAGUGCUUAUGGUAUCAGUUCUUCCUUGUCUACUGUGACAUUUUCUAUCUGAACAAAUUUUCCAUCGGUGUUAUUUGGAAAUCCAUUCUGCAUUUUUACCCUCCCCGGUAUCAG
rnacentral:lncRNA from 1 species